UCCCUGUUGGUUCAGCGGCAAAGACUCCGCACUCCUAAUGCAGGUGGUCCGGGUUUGAUCCCUGGUCAGGGAA
rnacentral:tRNA from 1 species